UGCAGUCGAACGAUGAACCACUUCGGUGGGGAUUAGUGGCGAACGGGUGAGUAACACGUGGGCAAUCUGCCCUUCACUCUGGGACAAGCCCUGGAAACGGGGUCUAAUACCGGAUAACACUCUCGCAGGCAUCUGCGAGGGUUAAAAGCUCCGGCGGUGAAGGAUGAGCCCGCGGCCUAUCAGCUUGUUGGUGAGGUAAUGGCUCACCAAGGCGACGACGGGUAGCCGGCCUGAGAGGGCGACCGGCCACACUGGGACUGAGACACGGCCCAGACUCCUACGGGAGGCAGCAGUGGGGAAUAUUGCACAAUGGGCGAAAGCCUGAUGCAGCGACGCCGCGUGAGGGAUGACGGCCUUCGGGUUGUAAACCUCUUUCAGCAGGGAAGAAGCGAAAGUGACGGUACCUGCAGAAGAAGCGCCGGCUAACUACGUGCCAGCAGCCGCGGUAAUACGUAGGGCGCAAGCGUUGUCCGGAAUUAUUGGGCGUAAAGAGCUCGUAGGCGGCUUGUCACGUCGAUUGUGAAAGCCCGAGGCUUAACCUCGGGUCUGCAGUCGAUACGGGCUAGCUAGAGUGUGGUAGGGGAGAUCGGAAUUCCUGGUGUAGCGGUGAAAUGCGCAGAUAUCAGGAGGAACA
rnacentral:rRNA from 1 species